UCCCUGCCUUACCAUCAACUGUUUCUCAACUUACACAUGCAAGUCUCAGCGCACCAGUGAGAACGCCCUUUCAACCUUCACCAGGUCAAGGAGCCGGCAUCAGACACUAACCCAAGUCCACAACGCCUAGUCUCACCACACCCCCAAGGGUCAUCAGCAGUGAUAAAUUUUGAGUAUAAGCGAUAGCUUGACUCAGUCAGAGAAAAGAGGGCCGGCCAACCCGGUGCCAGCUGCCGCGGCUACCCCGUGGGGCUCAAGUUGAAGAUCAUCGGCGUUAAGCGUGAUUAAAGUCCCAUUAGAUUAAGGCUAAAUUAAUGCUCAGUUGUUUAAAGCUCGCUAUUAAGAAAGACAAAAACGAAAGUUGCCCUAACCCACACUUGAAUUCACGACAGCUGGGGAACAAACUGGGAUCAGAUACCCCACUAUGCCCAGCCGUAAACAAUUAAUUUACAACUAUAAGCGCCAGGGAAUUACGAGCCAUGCUUAAAACCCAAAGGAUUUGACGGUGUCCCACCCCCCUAGAGGAGCCUGUUCUAUAAUCGAUGAUCCCCGCUACACCCGACCACUUCUUGCUCAUCAGUCUGUAUACCUCCGUCGAAAGCUUACCAUGUGAACGCCACCCACAGUAGGUUCAAUGAUCCACGUCAAUACGUCAGGUCAAGGUGCAGCUUAAGAAGUGGGAAGUGAUGGGCUACAAUUUCUAACCUAGAACAAACGAAAGACUAUGUGAAAUCAUGGUCCCGAAGGCGGAUUUAGUAGUAAAAAGAAAAUAGAGUGUUCUUUUUAACCUGGCUCUGGGACGCGUACACACCGCCCGUCACCCUCUUCGAUAGUGUUAAGCCACAGUCCAUAACCCAUUUAUACGUCCUAGAAGAGGCA
rnacentral:ncRNA from 1 species